GUGUAUAUCAUAUAGAUAUGCUAUUGUAUAAAUAAAGAACAAUUCGAAUAAAAAUAUGAUAUAAAUUUAUAUUGUUUAUAGAAACGAAAUUUCCUCUAUCACGGUAGUGUAAGUUUGUAUGUUAAGAAAUGUGAACGUAACGAAAACGAAAGAUCUGUACCCAAAACCUUGCGCGUCGAUGAGAGACAGGGGAGAGGGGAAUACCGAUUACCCCACUCUUUACGAAACAAAUCAUCACUGACCGUCAAUAAAAUAAGACUGGUGUGUUUCAAUUUUCGUCACACUCUCAGUUGUAGGCUGUAGCAAAGCAUCAGUAAAACGAAUCAAAUUAAAAAAGAAAGGUUCAAAAACCUGUAUCGGUUGCAGCUAGCGUUCCUUCUUCAUCUAUUUCCAACUUAACAUUUUGCAAGAUACUAGCCACAUGUAUCGAACUGUCAGAAAUCAUUUUGGACAAAUUCGUAUUAGGUUGAAAUAUAUUCUCGAUACCCAACUGAAACGAGAAUAAUUUUAACACUAAUCUUUACUUACUAGAUCGCAGAAACUGGAACAGUAAUUAAAUCAUCGGAUAAUAUCCGAAGGUAUGGAUCAUUUUUUCUAGACCUUGGCAUCAAUGUCAACAUUGAUGUUUUACCAUCCUGGGAAAUUUAUCAAUGCAUUUACAUCGUUAUAAUAAAGUAUGUGACAUUUA